rnacentral:rRNA from 1 species
UGGGGAAUAUUGCACAAUGGGCGAAAGCCUGAUGCAGCGACGCCGCGUGAGGGAUGGCGGCCUUCGGGUUGUAAACCUCUUUCAGUAGGGACGAAGCGCAAGUGACGGUACCUGCAGAAGAAGCACCGGCUAACUACGUGCCAGCAGCCGCGGUAAUACGUAGGGUGCGAGCGUUGUCCGGAAUUACUGGGCGUAAAGAGCUCGUAGGCGGUUUGUCACGUCGUCUGUGAAAUCCUAGGGCUUAACCCUGGACGUGCAGGCGAUACGGGCUGACUUGAGUACUACAGGGGAGACUGGAAUUUCUGGUGUAGCGGUGGAAUGCACAGAUAUCAGGAAGAACACCGAUGGCGAAGGCAGGUCUCUGGGUAGUAACUGACGCUGAGGAGCGAAAGCAUGGGUAGCGAACAGG